GGAGGUGCAAGCGUUAUCCGGAUUUAUUGGGUUUAAAGGGUGCGUAGGCGGUUUGAUAAGUCAGCGGUGAAAUAUUUCAGCUUAACUGGAAGGGUGCCGUUGAUACUGUCAGGCUUGAAUUUAGUUGCUGUGGGUGGAAUGUGUGGUGUAGCGGUGAAAUGCAUAGAUAUCACACAGAAUAUCGAUUGCGAAGGCAGCUCACAAAGCUAAUAUUGACGCUGAUGCACGAAAGUGUGGGGAUCAAACAGGAUUAGAUACCCUGGUAGUCCACACUGUAAACGAUGAUAACUCGCUGUCGGCGAUACAUAGUCGGUGGCCAAGCGAAAGCGAUAAGUUAUCCACCUGGGGAGUACGACCGCAAGGUUGAAACUCAAAGGAAUUGACGGGGGCCCGCACAAGCGGAGGAACAUGUGGUUUAAUUCGAUGAUACGCGAGGAACCUUACCCGGGCUCGAACGGUGCAUGAAUAUGUAAGAGAUUAUAUAGUCCUUCGGGACAUGUAUCGAGGUGCUGCAUGGUUGUCGUCAGCUCGUGCCGUGAGGUGUCGGCUUAAGUGCCAUAACGAGCGCAACCCUUGUCGUUAGUUACCAUCAAGUAAUGUUGGGGACUCUAGCGAGACUGCCACCGUAAGGUGUGAGGAAGGGGGGGAUGACGUCAAAUCAACACGGCCCUUACGUCCGGGGCGACACACGUGUUACAAUGGUAAGGACAAAGGGCAGCUACCGGGCGACCGGAUGCGAAUCUCUAAACCUUAUCUCAGUUCGGAUCGGAGUCUGCAACUCGACUCCGUGAAGCUGGAUUCGCUAGUAAUCGCGGAUCAGCACGCCGCGGUGAAUACGUUCCCGGGCCUU
rnacentral:rRNA from 1 species